AAAUUUUGCGAACUACGCAGUAACCCAGUCAGCUACGACGCGGCAGCGGAGCAAACAGACGCGCAACUGGGUCUUCAUAAUAUCAGCAUUGCUGGGCAGAAAGACCGUGAUCGCAGCGACGGUGAUAGAGCGCCGCUCAUAAUAAAUAAAAGUCAGGCUUGAGCCCCCUAGCGCCUUUCAACGCAGCUCGUCGCUUGUCGCUCGUCUACUGCUGUUAUUGCGGAUACUGUUGAUUGAGUGAAGUGAAGUGGAGGAAGUGUCAGCGCGGCGGUCGUCGUUAGUUUUGGUAUGCGGGAGCUCGGGAACUAUGCGAUCAGUGUGCCGAAUUGUUGGUCGUUCUUGCCGAACGCCGUCGGUUGACGAAUGCGGCGAUACAACCAGUGCGAUCGCCACGAAGAAGAAGAACGAGUGCUGUCGUCAAUACGACAAUUGUCGUUGAUGCUGUUGUUGUUGUUGUUGUCGCCAUCGUCGUCGUUGGCGUUGGCGUUGACGACAGCGACGACUUUAUAGCGCCACUUGCGCCACUUGAACAAUUAAUUUAGGGCAAAAGCAACAACAAUAACAACUGAAACAACAACAAUAACGACAACUACAACAACUACAUUCGUAACAACAAUAAAAUAGGCUAAGACAAUGAAGUGUAAAUGUGAACUUUGAAGCAAAUGAUUUUUCUAUACACUUUUAAGAGGCUUGCCGUAGGCGAAACAGAACAGUGGGGCGGCCACAUACGCUCCGCUCAUAGCCACAUCUAUGCUUAGAUUAAUAUACGCACGUAUGUAUAUAUGUGUUAUAUAGCUGUAUGAAUACAUAUGCAUGCACAUAUGUAUGUACAUACAUACCGACAUCAAUGACAAUCGAAAAUUGGCACACUGACGACAUUUUUUAAUGCAAGAUGGCGCCGCUCAGUAGCAACAAAUCUAAACUAAAGUGAUCAGCUUAAUUUUCAUAUUUACGAGUACAUAAAAUUUACGAACAUAUCUACAAAUGACUACACGUGUGUGCAUGUACAUACAUACACAUGUGUGUAGUUAUUAACGUAGCCGAUCUAUUAGCCAAACUCAAUAUGGUACUAAUGUAGUCAAAGCUCUGACCAAUCAGAACAUACAACAUAUGUAUGUACAUGGGUUGACAUCUGAAAGUGCUUAUAUACAUACAUGCAUACCAUAUCUAUGUACAUACAAACACAUAUGAGCUGGUCUACAUGGAAGUGUAAUCUAAAGGCAAUAGAAAUACGCAAAACAGGAACUAGUAACAAAUGAAACUAGUUGCCGACUAGUUACAUAUAUUGUACAAAUGCUACUAGUUUCAUUCAAUCUGGUUGCAAACUAGUUAAUAAAGAUGUAUGCAGCUUGUAAAUAUUUUGAAGUAGAAGCACGAGUGCAAAAGCAAGCUCAAAUGCAACAAUAACAAGCAAGCAGAAACAAAACAAAAUGAAACAAGCAACAAUAAAAUUGUACAAAUAAGAAUUAAACGAAAAUGUAGAAUUAAAAAACCCGCCGUCAGCGAGAGCAGCAGAAAAUCGAAGCGCCAUCAGCGCUCUGCAAAUGAAAUGGAAAUUAAAUUUGAAAAGCUCCAUAAGCAGUGGCACAACAACAGCACCAACGAAAACACUUCCGUCACAGUAAACACAAGCAGACAAAACUAAAACAGACUUUGCACCAUUUUUCAAUGGCACGAGCGCCGAGAACAUUGAACUAUUUUUCACUUUAUUACGACACGAUUAUUUUUAUGGAAAGUGUUGGACUGUAUCGUUAAAUGCGGCCCGACAAUCUACUCGAAACGAAGAGCGGCUGGCUGGUGAAAAUCAAUCCACAAUCUUCAACCCGCAAGCAACAGGCAUAGGCAGGCGCAGGCAACAUACAGUAACGCAGUAACUAGCAAUGUUUUGUUUUUGGAACGCUUUGAAAUGCUGUCAUUGCAUGGCUUAGUGAUAAGCGGCGAGGUGAAGUGAGUGCGUUGUUGCACAUGCACGGACAUCCAUACCAACAUCAUUGGGCACAUAUACGUACAUAUGUAUGUGUGCAUCUGCAUAUGCAAACGGCUCGUCUCGUCACAUACUGGGUUUUUUGAAUGGGAU